rnacentral:rRNA from 1 species
GACAGAGGUGCCGAGCGUUAGGCGGAAUCACUGGGCUUAAAGCGUGUGUAGGCGGAUGCCUAAGUACCUUGUGAAAUCCCACGGCUUAACCGUGGAACUGCUCGGUAUACUGGGUAUCUUGAGCCACUUAGGGGCGACCGGAACAAACGGUGGAGCGGUGAAAUGCGUAGAUAUCGUUUGGAACGCCAAUGGUGAAAACAGGUCGCUGGGAGUGUGCUGACGCUGAGGCGCGAAGGCGUGGGGAGCGAACGGG